CUGCAUGGGAACCAGUCUGUUUCCCAUGUUUAGGAUCCCUUAUCCCUCUGUAUAAAACUCAUGCGUUGUCUCUGCCUGGUGGAGUUUUCCGAGCAGACUUGCUUGAUGUCAACUAUAUAAAGACAGAGACGCUAUAUAUUAUUUUGAUCUUUAUACCUGAAAAAUAGGUAUAAAGUGAUAGAGUGAUACCCAGUGAUGCUAUGUAAUUUGAUCCAAAUUGUAAAAUGUUUUGAAAAUCUCUGCCAAUUUGACAUGUACUCUCUCCCAGCUUUUAAUUGUAUGUCUUUUUUAAUUAGUAAUUAUGUUGCUUGAUUGUCCUACGAGCUUUCUGAGUUGUGCACAAUUCAUGAAUAAACUUGAUUGAGUGAUUUUACCUGAACAGUGCUUGGAAAUAUAUUGUUUUUACAACACAAUAGAAACUAAAAAUGUUCAGU